UACGAAGGGGGCUAGCGUUGCUCGGAAUGACUGGGCGUAAAGGGCGCGUAGGCGGAUGGCACAGUCAGAUGUGAAAUUCCUGGGCUUAACCUGGGGGCUGCAUUUGAUACGUGUGAUCUAGAGUGAGGAAGAGGGUUGUGGAAUUCCCAGUGUAGAGGUGAAAUUCGUAGAUAUUGGGAAGAACACCGGUGGCGAAGGCGGCUCACUGGCUCAUUUCUGACGCUCAGGCGCGACAGCGUGGGGAUCAAACAGG
rnacentral:rRNA from 1 species